UGGGGAAUUUUGGACAAUGGGCGAAAGCCUGAUCCAGCAAUGCCGCGUGUGUGAAGAAGGCCUUCGGGUUGUAAAGCACUUUUGUCCGGAAAGAAAUCCUUGGCUCUAAUACAGUCGGGGGAUGACGGUACCGGAAGAAUAAGCACCGGCUAACUACGUGCCAGCAGCCGCGGUAAUACGUAGGGUGCAAGCGUUAAUCGGAAUUACUGGGCGUAAAGCGUGCGCAGGCGGUUUGCUAAGACCGAUGUGAAAUCCCCGGGCUCAACCUGGGAACUGCAUUGGUGACUGGCAGGCUAGAGUAUGGCAGAGGGGGGUAGAAUUCCACGUGUAGCAGUGAAAUGCGUAGAGAUGUGGAGAAUACCGAUGGCGAAGGCAGCCCCUGGCCAAUACUGACGCUCAUGCACGAAAGCGUGGGGAGCAAACAGGAUUAGAUACCCUGGUAGUCCACGCCCUAAACGAUGUCAACUAGUUGUUGGGGAUUCAUUUCCUUAGUAACGUAGCUAACGCGUGAAGUUGACCGCCUGGGGAGUACGGUCGCAAGAUUAAAACUCAAAGGAAUUGACGGGGUCAUAGCUGUUUCCU
rnacentral:rRNA from 1 species